rnacentral:rRNA from 1 species
UCAAGAAACUUCCACAAUGGGCGAAAGCCUGAUGGAGCGACGUCGCGUGAUGGACGAAGUGCUUCGGCACGUAAACAUCUUUUAUGUGGGAUGAAAUUAUUGACAGUACCACAUGAAUAAGGGGCUCCUAACUCUGUGCCAGCAGGAGCGGUAAUACAGAGGCCCCAAGCGUUAUCCGGAAUCACUGGGCGUAAAGGGUGUCGAGGCGGUUGUAUUAGUCGUUCGUAAAAUCUACGAGCUUAACUUGUAGGCGGCGAACGAAACGGUACGACUUGAGGUUUGGAGAGGUGCGUGGAACUCACGGUGUAGGGGUGAAAUCCGUUGAUAUCGUGGGGAACACCAAAGGCGAAG